AAUUUUGGACAAUGGGGGAAACCCUGAUCCAGCCAUCCCGCGUGUAUGAUGAAGGCCUUCGGGUUGUAAAGUACUUUGGGCAGAGAAGAAAAGGUAUCUCCUAAUACGAGAUACUGCUGACGGUACCCAAGGAGGAAGCCCCGGCUAACUACGUGCCAGCAGCUGCGGUAAUACGUAGGGGGCAAGCGUUGUCCGGAAUUAUUGGGCGUAAAGGGUGCGUAGGCGGCCUUUUAAGUCAGAUGUGAAAGACCACGGCUUAACCGUGGGGUUGCAUUUGAAACUGGAGGGCUUGAGUAUCGGAGAGGGUAGUGGAAUUCCCAGUGUAGCGGUGGAAUGCGUAGAUAUUGGGAGGAACACCAGUGGCGAAGGCGACUACCUGGACGAAAACUGACGCUGAGGCACGAAAGCUAGGGGAGCAAACA
rnacentral:rRNA from 1 species